AUUGAACGCUGGCGGCAGGCCUAACACAUGCAAGUCGAGCGGGGUUUUCGGACCUAGCGGCGGACGGGUGAGUAAUGCGUAGGAAGCUGCCCGAUAGAGGGGGAUACCAGUUGGAAACGACUGUUAAUACCGCAUAAUGUCUACGGACCAAAGUGUGGGACCUUCGGGCCACAUGCUAUCGGAUGCGCCUACGUGGGAUUAGCUAGUUGGUGAGGUAAUGGCUCACCAAGGCGACGAUCUCUAGCUGGUUUGAGAGGAUGAUCAGCCACACUGGAACUGAGACACGGUCCAGACUCCUACGGGAGGCAGCAGUGGGGAAUAUUGGACAAUGGGCGCAAGCCUGAUCCAGCCAUGCCGCGUGUGUGAAGAAGGCCUUCGGGUUGUAAAGCACUUUCAGCGAGGAGGAAGGGGUGUGUGUUAAUAGUACACACCUUUGACGUUACUCGCAGAAGGAGCACCGGCUAACUCUGUGCCAGCCGCCGCCGUAAGAC
rnacentral:rRNA from 1 species